rnacentral:rRNA from 1 species
GACGAACGCUGGCGGCGUGCUUAACACAUGCAAGUCGAACGGAAAGGCCCUGCUUUUGUGGGGUGCUCGAGUGGCGAACGGGUGAGUAACACGUGAGUAACCUGCCCUUGACUUUGGGAUAACUUCAGGAAACUGGGGCUAAUACCGGAUAGGAGCUCCUGCUGCAUGGUGGGGGUUGGAAAGUUUCGGCGGUUGGGGAUGGACUCGCGGCUUAUCAGCUUGUUGGUGGGGUAGUGGCUUACCAAGGCUUUGACGGGUAGCCGGCCUGAGAGGGUGACCGGCCACAUUGGGACUGAGAUACGGCCCAGACUACUAAGGGAGGCAGCAGUGGGGAAUAUUGCACAAUGGGCGGAAGCCUGAUGCAGCAACGCCGCGUGCGGGAUGACGGCCUGCGGGUUGUAAACCGCUUUCGCCUGUGACGAAGCGUGAGUGACGGUAAUGGGUAAAGAAGCACCGGCUAACUACGUG